rnacentral:miRNA from 1 species
CGGUCAAUACCAGAUGCAAA